UGGAUGACCCUACUCCGAACUUCUUUCGAACUUCGUCAGCACCCGAGCUUCUCCGACAACAAGAUUUUUACAGUAACCAGACUCCAUCCAAGUUUCUACGACGAUCGACCACCUUCUGGAUCUCAACCGAGCUCCCGCGAGAGCCGAACUUCUACUAUGAGUGGUCUACUCCGAACUUCUACUACGAGCGGUCUACUCUGAACUCCUACAGCG
rnacentral:lncRNA from 1 species